UUUCCAGACUCCUACGGGAGGCAGCAGUGGGGGAUAUUGCACAAUGGGGGAAACCCUGAUGCAGCGACGCCGCGUGAGUGAAGAAGUAUUUCGGUAUGUAAAGCUCUAUCAGCAGGGAAGAAGAUGACAGUACCUGAGUAAGAAGCCCCGGCUAACUACGUGCCAGCAGCCGCGGUAAUACGUAGGGGGCAAGCGUUAUCCGGAUUUACUGGGUGUAAAGGGAGCGUAGACGGCAGUGCAAGUCUGGAGUGAAGGGCGGGGGCUCAACCCCCGGACUGCUCUGGAAACUGUACGGCUGGAGUGCAGGAGAGGUAAGUGGAAUUCCUAGUGUAGCGGUGAAAUGCGUAGAUAUUAGGAGGAACACCAGUGGCGAAGGCGGCUUACUGGACUGUAACUGACGUUGAGGCUCGAAAGCGUGGGGAGCAAACAGGAUUAGAUACCCUGGUAU
rnacentral:rRNA from 1 species